rnacentral:rRNA from 1 species
UACAGAGGUCCCAAGCGUUGUUCGGAUUCAUUGGGCGUAAAGCGCGCGCAGGCGGCUCUUUAAGUCUAUGGGUGAAAGACCGGGGCUCAACCCCGUGUCAGCCCGGGAUACUGGGGAGCUAGGGACAUGUAGGGGCGAGCGGAAUUCCGGGUGUAGCGGUGGAAUGCGUAGAGAUCCGGAAGAACACCGGGGGCGAAGGCGGCUCGCUGGGCAUGGUCCGACGCUGAGGCGCGAAAGCGUGGGGAGCGAACAGG